GGCCUAGUAGCGAAAGGAAUCGCACCUGCAUUGAUUAAGGAUAGUAUCUGCAAAGUCUGAUAAAAGCAGGGAUCCCUGGUUCGACUCCAGGCUAGGUCG